rnacentral:rRNA from 1 species
GAUGAACGCUGGCGGCGUGCCUAAUACAUGCAAGUCGAGCGAACGGACGAGAAGCUUGCUUCUCUGAUGUUAGCGGCGGACGGGUGAGUAACACGUGUAUAACCUACCUAUAAUACUGGUAUAACUUCGGGAAACCGGAUCUAAUACCGGAGAAUAUUUUGAACCGCAUUGGUCAAAAGUGAAAGACGGUCUUGCUGUCACUUAUAGAUGGAUCCGCGCUGCAUUAGCUAGUUGGUAAGGUAACGGGUUACCAAGGCAACGAUGCAUAGCCGACCUGAGAGGGUGAUCGGCCACACGGGAAGUGAGACACGGUCCAGACGCCUACGGGAGGCAGCAGUAGGGAAUCUUCCGCAAUGGGCGAAAGCCUGACGGAGCAACGCGGAGUGAGUGAUGACGGUCUUCGGAUCGUGAAAAUCUGUUAUUAGGGAAGAACAUAUGUGUAAGUAACUGUGCCCAUCUUGACGGUAACUAAUCAGAAAGCCACGGCUAACUACGUG